UUGGAAACCAGGAGACCCUCACCUUGAGAGCUGUUGACAAUCAUCUUGCAAAGGGAGAGCCCACCGUGUAUGUAGGAGGAGACCCAUGAAAAGAAGAGACAACGUGGCCUGAGAUCAGAUCUCUUGUCACUUGCAGCUGAAAGAAUUAUCACUGAUAGGAGGUACAAAGUCCUUCUGAAAAGUAAGUACCUUCGAGUAGAAGGAAAUCAAGAACCUUAGUCUUCUUCCAAGGAAGAUGUCGUCAGGAGACAGAAGCAGACCACUGGCAAUUUGAGUUAAUUUGGAAAAUUCUUUCAGAAGCUUCUAGAAAUGUCAAAGAAAAUGGUUUCUUUGUUAGACUAAAGAAACACUCUCCUGAUGAGCAUGGCGUGCCAAGUUGUGCCAUGUCUGCACCCAGGAUCCAAACCAGCGAACCCUAGGCUGCCGAGAAGCAGAACGUGCGAACUUAACUGCUGUGCCACCGGGCUGGCCCCCAAAAAAGAAUACUUUGAAAAAAUCCCUUAAGCAUAAUAGACAAGGAUGUGUUAUGAGUUAACUCAAAUUACUACACAACUGCACAAGCUAAGCAGGACAGAGUGGAAGCUCGACUGGAGAGUCAUGGAAUGAUCUGGUAUGAACGGCCUCUCCGUGUUGGACAGGAGAAAAUG
rnacentral:lncRNA from 1 species